UACGGAGGGUGCGAACGUUAAUCGGAAUCACUGGGCGUAAAGCGCGCGUAGGCGGUUUGUUAAGUGGGAUGUGAAAUCCCCGGGCUUAACCUGGGAAUUGCAUUUCAAACUGGCCGACUAGAGUACGGUAGAGGGAGGUAGAAUUUCCUGUGUGGCGGUGAAAUGCGUAGAUAUAGGAGGAACACCGGUGGCGAAGGCGGUUCUUGCUGGGCAUGUCCUGAC
rnacentral:rRNA from 1 species